CCAGCAGCCGCGGUAAUUCCAGCUCCGCAAGUGUAUUCCUAUACUGUUGCGUUUAAAUAGCUCGUAGUUGGAUCUGCGUGUUUAGCGCGCGGUGUUACUUCUUGUAACUACUGUGACGCGACACUGUACGUUGACUUCAUGCUCAUGAGUAUGUUGACAACAAGUUUACUUUGAACAAAUCAGAGUGCUCAAAACGGGCGUUUCGCUCGAAUGUUCUUGCAUGGAAUAAUAGAAUAGGACCGCGCGUUCUAUUUUGUUGGUUUUCGGGACGCGGGUAAUGAUUAAGAGGGACAGACGGGGGCAUUUGUACUGCGACGUGAGAGGUGAAAUUCUUGGAUCGUCGC
rnacentral:rRNA from 1 species